rnacentral:rRNA from 1 species
UACGGAGGGUGCGAGCAUUAAUCGGAUUUAUUGGGCGUAAAGGGCGCGUAGGCUGGGAGAUAAGUCAGAUGUGAAAGCCCGGGGCUCAACCUCGGAACCGCAUUUGAAACUGUUUUUCUAGAGGGUAGGCGGAGAAAAUGGAAUUCCACAAGUAGCGGUGAAAUGCGUAGAUAUGUGGAAGAACACCGGUGGCGAAGGCGAUUUUCUAGCUUAUACCUGACGCUGAGGCGCGAAAGCAAGGGGAUCAAACAGG